UAAAUUUGUCGCCUUAUUGAAGUUUUUAAGUGCUCAAACGAAUGUCGAACAAAAACCGAGUUUGGAAUUAUUUUCUGGAGUAUUCCUAAUAUUUGCGGCAUGGCUUGGCGAUAGAUUUGUGUGUCCUAAGAGGCUUUGUUUCAUUGAAACCAGAAGUUUUGUUGAGCUCCUGUUGAACAAAAACAAAUUGAGAUUAAACAAUUGAAAACAUCACCAUCCAGCAUCCACUAGAUCUGUGGAGCGAUAUAGAUAGUACUAUGAAAAGACAAGAAGAAAAAUGGUCACAAUAUGAAAAGACAAGCAGGUAACAUUAGUUUGAGCAGUCGAUAAAAGAGCGGGGAGAAAAGGCGAAGCGAAAUAAAACGCAAUCAACGCCUAAGUACCGAUGAAGAUAAGCGAUUGUGUGUUUAUCCGCAAUUCUCACGUUCCUGGACACAUCAGGGUGUUAUCUUAUAAUCACCGCCAUGAGCUGCAGUCGAACCAGUGCAACAGCAUUACCCUCCUCGGAUAUAACAAAGACAGUCGGCGAGACACUAUCGACGGCCACAAUAUGACCCUUGGCGGUGACAGCCAACCCGGUCAAAAUAUCCAUAAACCUGAUGGAAAUCUUGAACAUAUAGUAUGUGCCGCACUUAGAGAAGAUCUGCAUGCGAGAGCGUCCAUUGCCGCGAUCGCAGACAAUGAAAUUUCCAUUGUGUUGGAAGACAGCCACUUUGCGGGGAUAAAAAAGCUGGCCGUGCCGCUUGCCGGCAUCGCCAAACUGGAACUUCAGGGCCCCCAUUUUGUCGAAUACAGCGAUUCGGUGAUUUUUCGAAUCGGCAACAAUGAUCUCCCCGUCGAUGCCCAGGCAAAAGCCAUUCGGUGCAUUUAAUUGUCCAUUGCCCGCACCCAGGCAGCCAAAUUUACACCCGAUUUGAGUAAAAUAUUGGACGAAGACGAGAUGGAAAAAGAAGGCUAUGGACAGCUAUAGAUGUCUGGAGAACCAUAUUUCACAUGGAAGCGGCAUUUCUUGGCUAGAUUUCAGCAUAAUUAUACAAAUUGUAAAGAAAUAUUAUUCAGACAUGAAUUGUAU